GGCUCGUUCUUCCAACGGUUAAGGAUGUCAGGUUGUCAACCUGGCGAUGCGGGUUCGAUUCCCGUACGAGCCG
rnacentral:tRNA from 1 species